GAGGCGGGACUUCCGCCCGCCCGCUGUUGUGGUCCCUUCUCCGACUCGCUUGGGUAGGGGCUCAGUGCAGCUACUCAGUCAUGAAGUCCGGGUAGCGACUUCUCUUGGGUGGCCGUGAGCCUAGGUUCCCGGGCCGGACUUCAGGUGAUUCUCAAGAUGCUGCUCUCCAUCGGGAUGCUCAUGCUGUCCGCCACACAAGUCUACACCAUCUUGACUGUGCAGCUCUUUGCAUUCCUGAACCUGCUGCCUGUAGAAGCAGACAUUUUAGCAUAUAAUUUUGAAAAUGCAUCUCAGACAUUUGAGGACCUUCCAGCAAGAUUUGGUUAUAGACUACCAGCUGAAGGCUUAAAGGGUUUUCUGAUUAACUCAAAACCAGAGAAUGCGUGUGAACCCAUAGUGCCUCCACCCCUGAAAGACAACUCUUCCAGCACUUUCAUCGUGCUGAUUAGAAGACUUGAUUGUAAUUUUGAUAUAAAGGUUUUAAAUGCCCAGAGAGCAGGAUACAAAGCAGCCAUAGUUCACAAUGUAGACUCUGAUGACCUGAUUAGCAUGGGAUCCAACGACAGUCAGUGCCUUGCUUAGCCAUCAUCAGAGGAGCUUCCUCCUGCAGCAGAUGGGAACAGAUACAGCUACUAUGCAGACAUUGAAAGGCUUUGGAACACAUCCUUAAAUAAGCUGUCCCCAUCAAAUUCUUCCCCCCAAAAGAUUGUUUUUAUUUGAGUUUCUGAUUAUUUUAUUUCCAUACCUGAAUAGUGGGUAAUUUUUAAAAAAAAAUUUUGGCGGCAUUUUAUUUUUGUUUUAAAUAUGUAGGUCAGGGUCAAGUUUCUUGGGACCUCUAGGAGGAACUUGAACUCCCUCUCUCCUUGCCAGGUAAUCUGUCACCAUUUCCCUUGAGAGCCAGAAAUAGGGUGUUGUCCGUUAAACUUCCCUGAGUGGAGACCUUACACUGGUGGCUUGUCUCUGUCCUUGAAAUGGGUCUAUAUACAUUUUCCUCCUCUGUCCUUGGGAAUCAAGUUAUAUGUCGGAAGGAAGGCUAAAAUUUUGCCCUUUUCUUUGUUCUUUAAUAGUUAAAAUGUUUUUUUUUCUAUAGAAGAGUAAGUCAAAGGAAAAUAUUAGAGAUUAAAAACUGUCUCUACCUUGUAAGACUGUUGAGAGAACUAAGUGAACAUGUACAUGGAAAUUUGGGUGUAAUUGUGUCUAGUUGCAUUUGCUGCUCUUAGAGAGACCCUUAAGUAUUGCCUUGUUACAAAUAAGUUUGCUGUUCUUUUACACAGUUGAUACAUUAAAGAAAAUUGACAUUCCAUCUGUCUUUAUUGGUGAAUCAUCAGCUAAUUCCCUGAAAGAUGAAUUCACAUAUGAAAAAGGGGGCCACAUUGUCUUAGUUCCAGAGCUGAGUCUUCCUUUGGAGUACUAUCUGAUCCCCUUCCUCAUCAUAGUGGGCAUCUGCCUCAUCCUAAUAGUCAUUUUUAUGGUAA